rnacentral:lncRNA from 10 species
GUCGACUCCUGUGAGGUAUGGUGCUGGGUGCAGAUGCAGUGUGGCUCUGGAUAGCACCUUAUGGACAGUUGUGUCCCCAAGGAAGGAUGAGAAUAGCUACUGAAGUCCUAAAGAGCAAGCCUAACUCAAGCCAUUGGCACACAGGCAUUAGACAGAAAGCUGGAAGUUGAAAUGGUGGAGUCCAACUUGCCUGGACCAGCUUAAUGGUUCUGCUCCUGGUAACGUUUUUAUCCAUGGAUGACUUGCUUGGGUAUGGAGAGUCGGCUUGACUACACUGUGUGGAGCAAGUUUUAAAGAAGCAAAGGUAUAGCAGUUCCAAGUAUUUUUUUUUUUUUUUUAGACAAGAGUCUAGCUCUUGCCCAGAAUGGAGUGCAGCGGCACUAUCAGUUCACUGCAACCUCUGCCUCCCAGGUUCAAGGAAUUCUCCUGCCUCAGCCUCUUGAGUAGCUGGGAUUACAGGCAUGUGACACCAUGCCUGGCUAAUUUUGUACAGCUAUGUUGUCCAGGCUGGUCUCGAACUCUUGACCUCAAGUGAUACUGCCCGCACUGACCUCCCAAAGUGCUGGGAUUACAGGCGUGAGCCACCAUGCCCCGCCUCAAGUCUGGUUUUUAAGUGUUGUAAAGCCGAUACAAUGAUGAUAACAUAGUUCAGCAGACUAACGCUGAUGAGCAAUAUUAAGUCUUUCGCUCCUAUCUGAUGUAUCUGGCGGUAACAUUCUAGUUUAUGCCCCGAAAAGGGGAAUAUAGCCAUUCUAUAAUGUUUGGAGAUUUUGGAUUACUCCUAAUUGUAUGCAAGUUGUCUUACUGUGUAUUGUCCCUUAAUUUCAGGACUCAGAAUUCAUGAUUGAAGAAAUGCAGGUUAGUUUAAACUUUGAAGGAAAUUUUUAAGGUGGCAAAAGGUUUUGGUGGCAUAUACACCUUAAUCUGUAGAUGGGAGUGAUUAGCUGUUUAAAAGUUAAAAUGUGACUGAGAAGGAAAUUGAGUAGGGCAAAUUUUAAAUGGGUAUUAUUUUUCAUCUUCAAACAGGCAGACCUGUUAUCCUAAACUAGGUGAGUCAGCUUUUGGUACAUGUGAUGAUUUUCAGUGUAACCAAUGAUGUAAUGAUUCUGCCAAAUGAAAUAUAAUGAUAUCACUGUAAAACCGUUCCAUUUUGAUUCUGAGGUUACUCUACUAACAAGCAUCACACAUUUGUAUUUUGCCCUGAUUAAUAUGUUGGCUUCGCUUUCAGGGUUUUUAAUGACCACAACAAGCAAGCAUGCAGCUUACUGCUUGAAAGGGUCUUGCCUCACCCAAGCUAGAGUGCAGUGGCCUUUGAAGCUUACUACAGCCUCAAACUUCUGGGCUCAAGUGAUCCUCAGCCUCCCAGUGGUCUUUGUAGACUGCCUGAUGGAGUCUCAUGGCACAAGAAGAUUAAAACAGUGUCUCCAAUUUUAAUAAAUUUUUGCAAUC